ensembl:lncRNA
AUGCACUUGCCUGCAUGGGUGAUUCUAAUUCAAGCUUCAUCUCCUCACCAUUUGUCUCUCAGCACCUUGGCCCCUCUUGCUGAUCUUAUCUCCCAAUUACUGCCCUGCAAACAUUCCUGCACUCCAAACAGACUGCGAACGUGGAACGCUGGAGUCCAAGAUCACCUGUUCUUUUCUAGACAUGCAUCUACUUCCUGUUCUGAAGCAACAGUAAGCAGGAGAAAUGAAAGUUGAACAUCAGCUUUAUUGCUAUCUAGCAUGCGCCAUUCUUCAGGAGCAGGACAUUUUAUAUUAACAUCUCUCAGUGAGGAGGAAUUGUGAGAGAGGAAAGAUAAUCUUCGCCGGUGGCAAAGUGCCCAGGCUUCGUGGGAAGUCCACACUCCAUUCCCUGACAUCUGCCAGCGAGGGCCUUCAGCGACACCUCACUGUCUCUAGAAGUAAACGCUUUCCAAGAACACAGUAAGAAAUAUAUGUGCAGUCGUUCCUUUAAGGAGCUAUAUCUACAUGAUGUGGGGCUUGAAAACUAUCUUUGUUAGUGUGACACAAUGUAUUCAGGUUGAUCCAGUAAUAUUAAAUAUGAACUACACUGUGAUGAUUUUUCUAAGUUGUAAACAAAGAUUACUGGAGUAUGUUUUACAAAAAAAAUAAAAAAAAUACUAUUUCAGUCUUUCUACUUCAACAUUUAGUUUCAUGUAAUGUGUUACUUGCUGUUUCUUUGUAAUUAUUUCUGACAUUUAAUAUCUGUUUCUGAGUGAAAUUACUGAUAUACUGAUGUCACAAAUGGUGCAGGAUGAGUUGCAAGCCAAGAUUUAAUGUUUCAUUUUAUAAAAAUCUUCAUGUCUAUAGAGCUACUAAUAGUGUUUAAAGGGGUAGUCUACCCAAAAUGAAUAAUGACAAGGUAUUUUAAGAACAUAAGUAACCAAACAGUCUUGGUUACAGCUGACUUCCAUUGCACCAAAAAAAAAAAAAACCUUGAGCCUUUCUCAAAAUAUCUUUUUUUAAUGCUCCACAAAAAGAAAAUCAUUCAGGUUUGGAACAACAUGAGAUUGAGCAACUGAUGACAAAAUUUUCAUUUUCAUCUCUUUAAGCAUCAAAAGCAUUUUUAUUAUUUCAACUUCUCUGCCCUACUUAUAUUUAAAAAGACAAUAAUACAAUUCCUGUGUAAUUUAAAUUGUGAUUUAAAAAAAAACACUAAUAAUUUUUUGCUUCUUUUCAAAAACAGUAAUUUAUUCACAAAUGGGAAUCUUGCACAGGGUUUCCAGGUCUGCGUAACCAAACUAGCCCAAUUGAAUGGUAUAUUGCUUCAACCCAAGGACUAAAAGAACAAACUGUGUCAACGGUAAAAAAGUAGCCCAAUUCAGCAGGAAAACUGUGGUCUUGGCAACACUGAUCCUGCAUUUAGUGUCAAAGAAUUAACCUUUAAACAUCUAAUUUUAAAGCAUCGAAUUUGACCAUCUUUUUAUUGAAAUAAGAUUAUGAUAAUCUGACAUUUACAUCUCUUACUUUCCAGUCUUAUUAACCCAAAAUUGCUGAGAGAAACAAAUUUGAUUCUUCUCAUUUCUCUCCUCAUGCCCCUUACAAGUUGAACACUUUUUCAACCCCUGAAACCAUUAGUGAGAAUUUAUCACUGCUGAAUCCUGCAAUAAGUCACUCAGCAGGCUCUGACUUGCCAAGUUCUAAAUUUCCUGACGUGUCGGGACCUGAAGGAGCGCAGAGGCCUGAUAAAACUCUUCGAUGAUUCCUCUUUCCCAGAAAUAGCAGUGUAUGCGAGUGUUCUCCAUAUUUUGACUGUUGCGGUGAGUAUGUUGGAGAAUGUGUUGCACCAGUGUGUUUCACUGUCCGCUGUCCCCCUUCUUUUGUUGGCUAUUAUAAUGACGUCUCCUUGCCAGGCCAAAUUAAUACCGGUUAAUUAGUGCCUGACUUGCUGCUAACAAGGUUUUUGUUCAGGGUGCUCUUGACACUAAAUGCCAGUUUUAAGCUGUUAUCACUGCCAAGUCGCCCUGCCAGGAAACAGGAAAUGGAUCAGGCCUUCAUGUCACCAUAAAGCAACAGUAGAAUGGUUCCCAGGGCCUCAUUGGUCUCGCAGAGAAAUGACAUCACCUCAGAAAACACCCCCCAACACGGCGAUAAGAAUAACGACAAGAAGAACUGCCGUACUCGCAGCCAAGACCACCUUAUGAUACAUUAAAAUGCACAGAUUUGAACGUUUGCUUCGAUUUUAGGACUUAAAUGUUAUAUAUUUAAAUACAGAAGUGUGAUAAAAUCACUUAAUAACCCUAAUCUAUGCAAAGUUUAAUCCAGUUUUCAGAUGGUAAACACAUAGUCCCACUGCUAAAAAGACAAUUUAAA